GGACUGUAGCUCAGUGGCAUAGCACUUGCCUAGCAUGCAUAAGGCACUGGGUUCAAUCCUCAGCACCA
rnacentral:tRNA from 1 species